UGAUCUUCUUGAAGUUUGAUUGAAUAAUGAUUAGAGCAUUUGCGGAAAUUCCACGUGCUUGGUUCACCCAUUUUUCACCCUAGAAUCGGAAUCGGAAUGGACAAAUUCGUUUGUCCGUAUUUGGUAUGCGGGAUUUUCAUUCUGAUUUUCAUUUCCGGGUGAAUAGAAAAUUUUCAAUUACCUUUUUUUUCAAUCCGGCUUGGAAGGGUGGAUUGAAAAUUAAAUUCGGGCGGAAUGGAUUUGUUCGGAUUAAAUUUAAUUUUCUAAACUUAUUUUUUAAAUAUAAGUUUAAGUUUAAAAAUUACAUUUAUAAAUUUUAAUUUUAAUUUGAACUUAAAUUAAAAAAUUAAAAUUCAAUCAAGCAUUUUGAACCGAAUUUAUAAAUUUAAAUUUAAGUAUUCAAAUUUUAUUUAAAAUUUAAAUUAAAAUUUAUGGAUUCAAAUUGAAAUUGAAAUUAUAGUUUUAAGUUUGAAUUUGAAUAAAUCAAUUUAAUU
rnacentral:lncRNA from 1 species